ACACUAAGCAAAUGGGAAGGCAAUGAUUUUCAUAAUAGCUUCAUUAAGAGCAUAGCGAGAAUUAAGAGGGGAAGCCAACAGCAUCUCCACUACUGCUCCCAGUUUUCCUCCACCAAAGCUGCAGUGUCUUUGGGUGGAGGUGUCUUUGGGGUGGGCAAAGGGUCACAGCAGCAGCUCCAAAUUCCCCACAAGCUCUGUGAAGGCAGAGGUCUGAAACAAUGAAACGCAGCUGGAAAAAUCCUAAAGGCAACCUCAGAACCUUUCCCACCCAUCCACAACAACGGCAGCUCUGGUGCGAGAAGCUGGAAAACACUCAGAAUCCCCUACGGAAAGAAGAGGGCUCAGAGAGACACAGCAGCUUCUCUGCCCACUCCUUUUAGAGAAGUCCAGUGCUCUCAAAACAGCUUCUUCAAACGCAUCCUGCAGGCAGACUGAGCUUAGGAGCUCUCAUGCUGGCUGCACGCAGCUCAGGUGCCUCCCAGGGCAUUUCUACCUUCUCACCUCUUCCAACCUGCACACCUGUAACGUUCUCUCCCUUUCCAUGCCUCUUCCACAGAGAUGAAAGACAAGGGCUGACUUUGCAGCGUGUGCCCAGCAGACAGCAGCGCUCCUUCAUUUUCUGCUUUCAGUUUCGGUCUGCAAACGCUUCUCAGAUUCAACGCGAUGACCUUUUUCACCUUUGAUCCCUAUUAGAUUUUCUCACGUCUGCUGUGCGGCGCUGAGGUUCGGACCAGAAGCUCUCACUGAACAAAACACACCACGCACCUCCUGGUUUGGCAAGCAGGACCCAGGUGUGCGGAUGGCUUCCCGAGCUGGGGAUGGGGUCACCGAUCCACCACUACCACCACCACCACCACCCAAAAGCUGCCCACUCCUUCCUCACUGCAUGCACAGCGCUUUAACCACAAACCAAGUGUUAAAAAAAAAAAAAUCACUGAAGGCUUCAUCAGCUGUUUCCAGGCAAGCGUUUGAGUUUUAGGUGCACUUACAGCAAAACUCAGCUUCUGAUGACCCCUACUUCGUGGUGCCUGGCAGCGGGACGCACAGCUCAGAGCUGGGCAAUAGGCAGAGCCGAAGGCUGAGGUUUGGUGCUUGGGAGCUUCUCAAAGAUGGGGAAAAAUGAUGUGGGUGAUCACAAGAAAAGGGAGGGGGCUGCAUGCGGGCUCCUUCACACCCAUCCCACAGCUGAACAAUUUAGCAGCCCUAACUCCAAAUGGACACAGGUGUGCACACAGCCCGGCAUCACGGCCUCCGUGCAUCAGAGUGCAACUCGGGCACCUGUAAGGGGCUGAGUCUGGAAACUUCCACACGGAGGGGAUGCAUAUAUCUUCUUCACACACAGCAAAAGAUAAAGCAAUAGCACGAUUUCGAUCAUCAGUUCCCUUUAGUGCAGCUAUGGCAGCAAGGGUUGGGCUGUCAGUGCACCGCUCUAUUUCCGUAUUUCAGGGCCUCGGUGUCUACCAAAAACACCCCCACGGCGCUUUUACCUUAAGCAAAAUGCGCCCAGCCGUAACACGUGCAAAUACCACGUCUUGGUUUGAUGCAGGGAGAGAGAACUCCCACUAAAACGGUGCUGUGUGGGUCCUCCGAACUGUGCAGGACGCCGCACGGGACAAAGAGCACGAGAACACAGCCGGGGGAGGGCUGCAACCCCACCACAUGUAUUCCCAACGCCUCUCCUGAGACUCCGUCACCGCGUUUCGCUAUGGUGCAGCCCCACAGGGAACAACCAGGCAAAAAAGCACGGCAGAUCGCACGACGGAGGGCGAGAAGCGAAGGCGCUCGUUUUGGGCGUUCUUUUCCAGGAAACUCUGGACACCGAAGGCGGAGGGGCCGCACCGCCAUCUCUCAGCCGCGCGGGUGCUUUGCCGCUCGGAUCUGUGCCCGAGGCCCGGCCCAACCCGAGAUCUGUUUUCUGAAGGCUGCUCCUUCCCCGGAUCUGCUCCUCUCCGGAAAAACACAGCAGCAUCGCCCCCUGCCUCCCGCCGGGGCGCCGCGCCGCAG
ensembl:lncRNA